rnacentral:rRNA from 1 species
AAUCAACGCUGGCGGCGUGCCUAACACAUGCAAGUCGAACGCGAAAAGGGCCUCGGCUCUUAGUAGAGUGGCAAACGGGUGAGUAACACGUGGGUGACCUACCUUCGAAUGGGGGAUAACGUCCCGAAAGGGACGCUAAUACCGCAUAACAUCCUGCCUUUGAACAGGUGGAGAUCAAAGCCGGGGAUCGCAAGACCUGGCGUUUGAAGAGGGGCCCGCGUCUGAUUAGCUAGUUGGGAGGUAACGGCUCACCAAGGCGACGAUCAGUAUCCGGCCUGAGAGGGCGGACGGACACACUGGGACUGAGACACGGCCCAGACUCCUACGGGAGGCAGCAGUGGGGAAUUGUUCGCAAUGGGCGCAAGCCUGACGACGCAACGCCGCGUGGAGGAUGAAGGUCUUCGGAUUGUAAACCUCUUUCAGCUCCGACGAAGCGAGAGUGACGGUAGGAGCAGAAGAAGCACCGGCCAACUACGUGCCAGCCG